UACGUAGGGGGCAAGCGUUGUCCGGAUUUAUUGGGCGUAAAGAGCGUGUAGGCGGCCAGGUAGGUCUGCUGUGAAAACUCGAGGCUUAACCUCGAGCUGUCGGCGGAAACCAUCUGGCUAGAGUCCGGAAGAGGAGAAUGGAAUUCCCGGUGUAGCGGUGAAAUGCGCAGAUAUCGGGAAGAACACCCGUGGCGAAGGCGGGUCUCUGGACAGUUCCUGACACUGAGACACGAAGGCCAGGGGAGCAAACGGG
rnacentral:rRNA from 1 species